UACAGAGGUCUCAAGCGUUGUUCGGAUUCAUUGGGCGUAAAGGGUGCGUAGGCGGCGCGGUAAGUCGGGGGUGAAAUUUCGAGGCUUAACUUCGAAACUGCAUUCGAUACUGCCGUGCUUGAGGACUGGAGAGGAGACUGGAAUUUACGGUGUAGCGGUGAAAUGCGUAGAUAUCGUAAGGAAGACCAGUGGCGAAGGCGGGUCUCUGGACAGUUCCUGACGCUGAGGCACGAAGGCCAGGGGAGCAAACGGG
rnacentral:rRNA from 1 species